AUUGAACGCUGGCGGCAUGCUUUACACAUGCAAGUCGAACGGUAACAGGUCUUCGGAUGCUGACGAGUGGCGAACGGGUGAGUAAUGUAUCGGAACGUGCCCAGUAGUGGGGGAUAACUACUCGAAAGAGUGGCUAAUACCGCAUGAGAACUGAGGUUGAAAGCGGGGGGACCUUCGGGCCUCGCGCUACUGGAGCGGCCGAUAUCAGAUUAGGUAGUUGGUGGGGUAAAGGCCUACCAAGCCGACGAUCUGUAGCUGGUCUGAGAGGACGACCAGCCACACUGGGACUGAGACACGGCCCAGACUCCUACGGGAGGCAGCAGUGGGGAAUUUUGGACAAUGGACGCAGGUCUGAUCCAGCAAUGCCGCGUGCAGGAAGAAGGGCCCUUCGGGUUGUAAACUGCUUUGUCAGGAGAAAUCUCUGGGCUAUACCCCGGAGGAUGACGGUACCUGAAGAUAAGCACGGCUAACUACGUGCCAGCAGCCGC
rnacentral:rRNA from 1 species